rnacentral:rRNA from 1 species
GACAGCAGUCGCCGCGGUAAUACGGAGGGGGCUAGCGUUGUUCGGAAUUACUGGGCGUAAAGGGCACGUAGGCGGCUUGGUAAGUUAGAGGUGAAAGCCCGGAGCUCAACUCCGGAAUUGCCUUUAAGACUGCCGAGCUAGUAGGUGAGAGAGGUAAGUGGAAUUCCGAGUGUAGAGGUGAGAUUCGUAGAUAUUCGGAAGAACACCAGUGGCGAAGGCGGCUUACUGGCUCAUUCUAGACGCUGAGGUGCGAAAGCGUGGGGAGCAAACAGGAUUAGAUACCCCCGUAGUCCCUGUCUCUUAUAC